AGGGAGAUGGUAGCAGUAUAUAGCCGUCAACCUGCCGAUUUGGUAGAGGGUCCUCCACCUGUGUGUCCCCGAUUUGCCAGGAAGUUUCAGUAACAUCUCUGAUCAUCUCCAUUGAUUCUAUCCGUCAAGCUUGAUUGUGGGAGCGUGGUUCCGCCAAGGCGGGUUUUUCUUUCGUGGAGUAUGGCCUGCAAUCUUCUCUCCUGUUGGGUUUGGCCAGGAAAAGGUCAUGAGGCUCCCAAUGCAACUCCUGGUUCUUCUUCUGAUUCGCGCAUGGGGUUUAGGGAGCCGGAUUAUCUGCAAUUUGCAGCGGUAAAUGGGCGACGAAUCAAGAGGAAGUGGCAUAUUCUGGAGGAGCGGCAAAUAGAUCGGGAGUACGAUGUAGUCCUCGUGCCCUCAGAUGGAGGAUGCGUAUCGUGUUGCCAAUCUGAUGAGUCGGAUUGGUCCAUUGGCUGGUUGGAACCUCACGCCCCCGAAUUCCAGACUGAGAGAGAGACCGAAACAGCUUCGCUGUCUUGGUCCCAUGCUAUGGACGUGGUCGCUACGAGCAGGUGGACAGCUCCAAGAAGCAUGUUUUGGGUGCUGUUGAUCUCCUGGAUGAGGAUGAGGAUUAUUCUGAUGGCCAAAAGUAUAUUGAACAGUGGCUUGCAGAACACUUCUCAGUAUGAAACAACUUUACAGUGGCCUGCAGAACACUUAUCAGCAUGAAACAAGUUGCUGACAGCUAGAGCUUGAUGUGUUUAUUAUAUUGUUCACCACAUCAAGAUCUUGGUGCUUCAGGCAAAGAACAAGGAAAAAAAAAGGAAAAAAGAUGUUGAUUAAAGCAGAGCAAGAAAGGAGCUGUGGGAUGUUUGUGAAUACUCGGAGCAAAUCAUUCCUUGCAAGUUGCAAGAAAUGCAAGAGUGAAGGAAGCAGCAAAGAUAUGCAUCCGUAACAAAGAUUCAAAUCGAUUUGGGAACACUAAAGUUUGGCAAUAUGUGUUUAUUCUGUGUCUCCUUGCUUCCUACCUUACAGCAAGAACUUUGCCAGCAUCAGACUCGGCCAUUGGGUGUAAAUAUAAUUCUUUUGUGUGUAUAUAUAUAUGGUAUCAUUUUUUGCUGUGAAUAUAUAUAUGUAUAUGUAACUAUGGAAUCCUUUUUUCGAUUUUUUUUCUGUAAAUAUUGUGGUUCAGGAAGGUUAGAACCCUUAUGGCCAAUGUUAUGCAGUGUUCUCAGCUGCUAUUGCUGUUGGAAGUCUUCUUGAUGAUUGUUUUGUAUGAAAGCUUCAGUUAUUUCUUUUUGGGGCAUUAAGUCUGUGACUAUGCAAUGGUUUCUUCAUACCAAAAGGCAAAAGCAAGAGUCAUGCCACAAUUUCUUCAAAUCAAUAGACAGUAUCAUUAGUUGCAUCAGCAAUUGCAUUUCAAAUUGAUGUUUCAGUAUCUGCAUGCUCACAUGCAAUAUUUUGA